rnacentral:rRNA from 1 species
UACGAAGGGGGCUAGCGUUGUUCGGAAUUACUGGGCGUAAAGCGUAUGCAGGCGGAUCGUUAAGUCGGGGGUGAAAUCCCGAGGCUCAACCUCGGAACUGCCUUCGAUACUGGCGAUCUUGAGUCCGGGAGAGGUGAGUGGAACUCCGAGUGUAGAGGUGAAAUUCGUAGAUAUUCGGAAGAACACCAGUGGCGAAGGCGGCUCACUGGCCCGGUACUGACGCUGAGAUACGAAAGCGUGGGGAGCAAACGGG